UUUAAGUGCAACCAUGAGUUUCCGUGCCCAACUUUGAUUAUCCAUCUUAUUUGAAAAUUUUUUAUAAAUAAUAUUUUUGUUGUUAUGAGAUGAUAAAAUAUGAACAAUACUUUACUCGUGAUUUAUGUUUUUAUUUUUUUAAAAUAAAAUGGAUGAUUAAAAUUGAGCGCAUAAAACUAUGGCUGCAAUUAAA
rfam:Oryza glumipatula chromosome 1, whole genome shotgun sequence.